rnacentral:misc_RNA from 1 species
GGCCUUCCUGUUUUGCAUUGCAACUCUACAAAAUUUACUUUGCUUCUCUAUGAUGUUACAACCAAACCUUUUCUUACUUAAGAAUGGGACUAAACAUACAUCAUUUUGCAAAAUUGAUAUGCACAACAUGGCAGGUUAUUGCAAAUAUGUGACAAAUUUCAAGGAGCUGUAACCUGCUCUUCUUCCAAUGCAAGAGGAAAAGCUGGUCUCCAUGUAGUGCCUUCAGGGCUAUCCAUCAAGGCAAUACCUACAGCAGCCAAAUCUUUUCGAAUUACAUCCGAUCUAUCAUAAUCUUUAUUUUUACGUGCUGUAUCCCUCUCCACGAUUUUUUGCUGAACUUGAUCAUCAG